AUACGUAGGGUGCGAGCGUUGUCCGGAAUUACUGGGCGUAAAGAGCUCGUAGGUGGUUUGUCGCGUCGUCUGUGAAAUUCCGGGGCCUAACUCCGGGCGUGCAGGCGAUACGGGCAUAACUUGAGUACUGUAGGGGAGACUGGAAUUCCUGGUGUAGCGGUGAAAUGCGCAGAUAUCAGGAGGAACACCGGUGGCGAAGGCGGGUCUCUGGGCAGUAACUGACGCUGAGGAGCGAAAGCAUGGGUAGCGAACAGGAUUAGAUACCCUGGUAGUCCAUGCCGUAAACGGUGGGCGCUAGGUGUAGGGGUCUUCCACGACUUCUGUGCCGUAGCUAACGCAUUAAGCGCCCCGCCUGGGGAGUACGGCCGCAAGGCUAAAACUCAAAUGAAUUGACGGGG
rnacentral:rRNA from 1 species